GUCCAGUCACGCUGCGGAUAUUGGGCGUAAGCGCGCGCAGGUGGUUUCUUAAGUCUGAUGUGAAAGCCCACGGCUCAACCGGGGAGGUUCAUUGGAAACUGGGAGACUUGAGUGCAGAAGAGGAAAGUGGAAUUCCAUGUGUAGCGGUGAAAUGCGUAGAUAUAUGGAGGAACACCAGUGGCGAAGGCGACUUUCUGGUCUGUAACUGACACUGAGGCGCGAAAGCGUGGGGAGCAAACAGGAUUAGAUACCCCCGUAGUCCAAA
rnacentral:rRNA from 1 species